rnacentral:rRNA from 1 species
GCAUGGCUAAAACAUGCAAGUCGAACGCGAACGGGGCUUCGGCCCUUAUUAGAGUGGCGAACGGGCGAGUAAUGCAUGCUUAACGUACCUCGAGGUCAGGGAUAGCUGGGGGAAACUCCAGGUAAUACCUGAUGACCCCGUCGAACCGCAUGGUUUGUCGGGCAAAGAUUUAUCGCCUCGGAAUCGGAGCAUGUCCUAUCAGGUUGUUGGUGAGGUAAAGGCUCACCAAGCCAAAGACGGGUAGCGGGUGUGAGAGCAUGACCCGCCGCAUCGGGACUGAGACACUGCCCGGACUCCUACGGGAGGCUGCAGUAACGAAUCUUCCGCAAUGCGCGAAAGCGUGACGGAGCAAUGCCGCGUGUGGGAUGAAGCCCCUAGGGGUGUAAACCACUGUCAGGGGUUAGGAAUCCUGACCAGCCCCAGAGGAAGGACCGGCUAACUCUGUGCCAGCAGCCGCGGUAAUACAGAGGGUCCAAGCGUUAAUCGGAAUCACUGGGCUUAAAGGGUGCGCAGGCGGACUGGCAAGUAUCUUGUGAAAUCCCACGGCUCAACCGUGGAAUUGCUCGGUAAACUGCCAGUCUUGAGCCCGACAGGGGCCAUCGGAACGGUAGGUGGAGCGGUGAAAUGCGUAGAUAUCUACCGGAACGCCAAAGGCGAAAGCAGAUGGCUGGGUCGGAGCUGACGCUCAGGCACGAAAGCAUGGGUAGCGAACGGGAUUAGAUACCCCGGUAGUCCAUGCCCUAAACGAUGUGCACUAGAUCGAGGAGGUUUUGACGCCAUCUCGGUCGUAACGAAAGCAUUAAGUGCACCGCCUGGGGAGUACGGUCGCAAGGCUAAAACUCAAAGGAAUUGACGGGGGCUCACACAAGCGGUGGAGCAUGUGGCUUAAUUCGAGGCAACGCGAAGAACCUUAUCCUGGGCUUGACAUGCACGGAUUAGGCUCCCGAAAGGGAGUUCGACGCUCUUACGAGUGGAACGUGCACAGGUGCUGCAUGGCUGUCGUCAGCUCGUGCUGUGAAGUGUCGGGUUAAGUCCCUUAACGAGCGAAACCCCUGCCGUUAGUUGCUAACAUUCAGUUGAGGACUCUAACGGGACUGCCGGUGUCAAACCGGAGGAAGGUGGGGACGACGUCAAGUCAUCAUGGCCUUUAUGCCCAGGGCUGCACACGUGCUACAAUGGUACGGACAGAGCGACGCGAUACCGUAAGGUGGAGCAAAUCGCACAAACCGUGCCCCAGUUCGGAUUGUGGUCUGCGACUCGACCACAUGAAGUUGGAAUCGCUAGUAAUCGCGCAUCAGCUACGGCGCGGUGAAUAAGUUCCUGAGCCUUGUACACACCGCCCGUCACGUCAUGGGAGCCGGGAGUACCCGAAGUGGCAGCGACUCAGCUGUCCAUACGUAAACUCGGUGACUGGGACGAAGUCG